rnacentral:rRNA from 1 species
UACGUAGGGGGCAAGCGUUGUCCGGAUUUAUUGGGCGUAAAGAGCGUGUAGGCGGCCUGAAAGGUCAGCUGUGAAAACUCGGGGCUCAACCCCGAGACGUCGGUUGAAACCACCUGGCUAGAGUCCGGAAGAGGAGUGUGGAAUUCCCGGUGUAGCGGUGAAAUGCGCAGAUAUCGGGAAGAACACCCGUGGCGAAGGCGGCACUCUGGGACGGUACUGACGCUGAGACGCGAAAGCGUGGGGAGCGAACAGG